UACAGAGGUCUCAAGCGUUGUUCGGAUUCAUUGGGCGUAAAGGGUGUGUAGGUGGCGCGCUAAGUCGGGUGUGAAAUUUCGGAGCUUAACUCCGAAACUGCAUUCGAUACUGGCGUGCUUGAGGACUGGAGAGGAGACUGGAAUUCAUGGUGUAGCAGUGAAAUGCGUAGAGAUCGUAAGGAAGACCAGUGGCGAAGGCGGGUCUCUGGACAGUUCCUGACGCUGAGGCACGAAGGCCAGGGGAGCAAACGGG
rnacentral:rRNA from 1 species